AGCAUACUUCCAUAAAUGCGGCUAUGUUGGUAAAAGUAUUCCUUUUCGAAAAUCUAGAAGAACUUAGCGAAAUAGAAAGUUCAAAUUAUUUUAACUCUCUAUGGAGAGAGAUGUCCUGCGGCCAACUAAACGCAGUUUCUGAAAAAGGAAGAAGCGGCUACCUAUGCCAAAGCUGCUUUGAGUCACACUCUAAACCCGAAUUUCUUCUACACGAAGUCUCCCUUCAUCUGACCUUUCUCAAAGAAAAAGCGCUAUGUCGCUUAUGCAAACAAAG